rnacentral:tRNA from 1 species
GGUCGCGUAGCUCAGCAGGUAGAGCACAUCCCUUUUAAGGAUGGGGUCCUGGGUUCGAAUCCCAGCGCUACCA